rnacentral:lncRNA from 1 species
GUGAGCCGAGAUCCCGCCACUGCACUCCAGCCUGGGCGACAGAGCGAGACUCCGUCUCAAAAAAAAAAAAGAACAGUUCUGUAGCUGUCAGGGCCGGGGUGUACCGGGGCAGCCCAUGGUGGUAGAUAAAAACAGCUGUUCUGGAGUCAGAGUGACUUCUGUGCUGGUUCUUAUUCCGUUAGUUACUUGCCGCGUGCUGUCAAGUAAGUUACAACACCCCUCUGAUGCUCUUCCGUAAAAUGAAGCUAACCGUGUAUUAUGGAGAGGAUUACCACCUCACCAUAGACUGUCCUUGCAGAAGAAGCUUCUGCAGUGCCUGAGUCUUUGUAAAAGUGACGUGAAGAGAUUUUCAUGUUGGAAAGAUGACUAACUGCAUCGUAGAAUUAAUGUGAAAGGGUGGCCCAAGGAAGCAAGUUUCUUCACAGCUAUUGCAAUAAACAGGGUCUACUGGAGACCUUGGCUUUUUAUUUCCCUGACACAACUUCACACUGCUGGAGCAAUGCUUGGAUUGCUCUGGAAACACUGGCAAAUCUCAAGAUGCAGUUCAGGCUUCUCCAUGAUGAGUGUGAGUCCCUAGGCUGUCUCUCAAACUAAAGAUUCCCCAGCCAGGCAACUCUAAAGAGUCUUCGACAAGGCAACACAAUUACUCUGUGUGCUUAGAAGAAGAGGGGUCAUAAAUGUCAGCUGUUGCUCUUUGAGUCCUGCUAAUUCAUUCAUUGAUUCACUCAUCUUUCCCACAGGCAUGUGCUGUGCGUUUACUGUACUGCAUGACACUGUGGAGGUUAUAAAGAAAUAAAAUAUUUGGGGCUUACUCUCUAUGAAAUAAAAUUCUAAUUCUUUCUACCAUAUAUUCUUAUGUGAGAUCCCAGCCUGCUCUACCUGGUGCCUGCUCUACCUGUUACCUGGACUAGGGCAUUUCUGUAUCAGAUUAAAUUUAAAGGUGUUUCAAUAGUUAAUAAUGAUCAAACGUUAUAAAUAUUGGGAAACUAUAAUGGAUGAGGUGAAAAAGAAAAGGCCACUAAGUAGAAAAUUAGAUAAAAUAGACAUAUAUAAAAUUAAGUCAUGUGUUAUGGGCUAAACUGUGUCCCCCACAAAAUUCAUGUUGGGGUCAGUACCUCAGAAUGUGUCUGUAUUUGGAGACAGGGCCUUUAUAGAAAUAAUUAAAUUAAAAUGAGGUCACUAGGGUCAGCUCUAAUCCAACAAGAUGGGCAUCCUGAUAGGAAGAGGGAAUUUGGAUACAGAGGGAAGAUUAUAUAAAGACACGGGGAGAGGAUGACCAUCUACAAGACCAAGAGAGAGGCCUGUCCGUAAGAAACCAACCCUCAAGGAGAGAGGCCUUUCUGUAAGAAACCAACCCUGCCAGCACCCAGCUUUUGGAGCUCUAGUCUCCAGAAAUGUGAAAUAAAUUUCUUUUGUUUAAGCCACUCAGUCUAUGGUACUUUGUUAUAGCAGCCCUGGCAAACUAAUACAGCAUCAAACUUGGGAAGGCAUUCAAAUGCAUUUACUGAGCAAAUCAUUUGUACAUAUCAUUAUCAUAAAUGUUGCAUCAUAGAAAUUAAUUUAUCUAGGCCCAGAGCUCCUUGAAAU